AGUGAACGCUGGCGGUAGGCCUAACACAUGCAAGUCGAACGGCAGCACAGUAAGAGCUUGCUCUUACGGGUGGCGAGUGGCGGACGGGUGAGGAAUACAUCGGAAUCUACUUUUUCGUGGGGGAUAACGUAGGGAAACUUACGCUAAUACCGCAUACGACCUACGGGUGAAAGCAGGGGAUCUUCGGACCUUGCGCGAUUGAAUGAGCCGAUGUCGGAUUAGCUAGUUGGCGGGGUAAAGGCCCACCAAGGCGACGAUCCGUAGCUGGUCUGAGAGGAUGAUAAGCCACACUGGAACUGGGACACGGUCCAGACUCCUACGGGAGGCAGCAGUGGGGAAUAUUGGACAAUGGGCGCAAGCCUGAUCCAGCCAUACCGCGUGGGUGAAGAAGGCCUUCGGGCUGUAAAGCCCUUUUGUUGGGAAAGAAAAGCAGCAGGUUAAUACCCCGCUGUUCUGACGGUACCCAAAGGAUAAGCACCGGCUAACUUCGUG
rnacentral:rRNA from 1 species